GAUUGAACGCUGGCGGCAUGCCUUACACAUGCAAGUCGAACGGCAGCACGGGGGCAACCCUGGUGGCGAGUGGCGAACGGGUGAGUAAUACAUCGGAACGUGUCCUGUAGUGGGGGAUAGCCCGGCGAAAGCCGGAUUAAUACCGCAUACGAUCUACGGAAGAAAGCGGGGGAUCCUUCGGGACCUCGCGCUAUAGGGGCGGCCGAUGGCAGAUUAGCUAGUUGGUGGGGUAAAGGCCUACCAAGGCGACGAUCUGUAGCUGGUCUGAGAGGACGACCAGCCACACUGGGACUGAGACACGGCCCAGACUCCUACGGGAGGCAGCAGUGGGGAAUUUUGGACAAUGGGGGCAACCCUGAUCCAGCAAUGCCGCGUGUGUGAAGAAGGCCUUCGGGUUGUAAAGCACUUUUGUCCGGAAAGAAAACGUCUUGGUUAAUACCCGAGGCGGAUGACGGUACCGGAAGAAUAAGCACCGGCUAACUAC
rnacentral:rRNA from 1 species